UACGUAGGGUGCGAGCGUUAAUCGGAAUUACUGGGCGUAAAGCGUGCGCAGGCGGUUUGUUAAGACAGAUGUGAAAUCCCCGGGCUUAACCUGGGAACUGCAUUUGUGACUGGCAAGCUAGAGUAUGGCAGAGGGGGGGUAGAAUUCCACGUGUAGCAGUGAAAUGCGUAGAGAUGUGGAGGAAUACCGAUGGCGAAGGCAGCCCCCUGGGCCAAUACUGAC
rnacentral:rRNA from 1 species